GACGAACGCUGGCGGCGUGCCUAAUACAUGCAAGUCGAACGGGUCCAUCCAGUGGCAACACUGGUGAAGACCGAGUGGCGAACGGGUGCGUAACACGUGAGCAACCCACCCCGAAGACCGGGAUAACACCGGGAAACCGGUGCUAAUACCGGAUGCCGUCACCGGAUCGCAUGGUCUGGUGACGAAAGGAUUCCGCUUCGGGACGGGCUCGCGGCCUAUCAGCUCGUUGGUGGGGUAACGGCCCACCAAGGCUUCGACGGGUAGCUGGUCUGAGAGGACGUUCAGCCACACUGGGACUGAGACACGGCCCAGACUCCUACGGGAGGCAGCAGUGGGGAAUCUUGCGCAAUGGGCGAAAGCCUGACGCAGCAACGCCGCGUGCGGGAAGACGGCCCUAGGGUUGUAAACCGCUUUCAGCAGGGACGAAACUGACGGUACCUGCAGAAGAAGCUCCGGCUAACUACGUGCCAGCAGCCGCGGUAAUACGUAGGGAGCGAGCGUUGUCCGGAUUUAUUGGGCGUAAAGAGCUCGUAGGCGGUUUGGUAAGUCGGGUGUGAAAGCUCCGGGCUCAACUCGGAGAGGUCACUCGAUACUGCCAUGACUCGAGUCCGGUAGGGGGCGUGUGGGAAUUCCCCAGUGUAGCGGUGAAAUGCGAGAUAUUGGGGAGGAACACCAAUGGCGAAGGCACACCCUGGGCCGGUACUGACGCUGAGGAGCG
rnacentral:rRNA from 1 species